rfam:Oryza sativa (indica cultivar-group) chromosome 7, whole genome shotgun sequence.
AAUAAGUGCAGUUCUGUACUAUUCACGUUCAACCUUCGACCGCUUGUCUUAUUUGAAAUUUUUUAUGAUUAGUAUUUUUAUUGUUAUUAGAUGAUAAAAUAUAAAUAGUACUUUACGUGUGACUAAAUAUUUUUGAAUUUUCACAAAUUUUUUAAAUAAAACGGAUAAUCAAACGUUAGGUAGGAAUAUUUACGGCUGUAUUUAUU